CUGCCCCGGCUCCUCCACGCGGUGCUGUGCCUCUGCCAGGGGACAGGUCAGUCACGCAGAAAGCAGCGCAGCACGCUCACGCCAGCUGUGCUCAGGCUCCGGACGCCUGGUGACAGCGCAGAGCAGCAGCUCUCCCUGCUCGGCUGCCAGCGGUGCUCGGCGCGAUGGGACCACGAGAUGGAGCCGUCUGCCCGCACACCGAGCCCGGGCCGCUCCUCUGACCAGCCCCCGCUCCAGCUGCGGGGGAGGGAGAAGCGCCCGGGCCCCAACGAAGUUGUUACGAAACAGAGAAAAAGCACAAAGCCAGCAGCAUUCUGGAAAGGUCGGGGGCAGAUUUCUCAUUCACAUCUGGUGCUUCUACAUCCUUCCUAUUGAUUGGCUUAGGCACGGAUGAGGAACACUCAGAUGGCAGCUUGCAUGACUGGCCUGUAUACAGUUGCACAAGAUCUCACUGGUCACACCCUCAACGGCUCCUAAGUUAUUUGAGAUUCCUGGAACUGUUUAACUGACACAUAAACAGAAUUUGGAGUUCAGCUGGCUCUUUCCUGUACCAGGAUAAAUUACCACAGCUACAAAGAUGGAAGAUCAGUAAAAGUAAACGAGAGAUAUCUGCCCUGUGCAUCCAAACAGCACAGCAGGAAAGCUCUCAGCAACAUCUACCGUGUUUCCCUGUUUCCCAGAGUGAAGAACUCCUGACUCAAACCCUUUGAGCCACCAAUCAACCUUACUGACACUGCAAGAAUGGUCUCUGCACAGUGCUCAGGGGACAGCUGACUUCUUCCAUGCUUCCAAUUAAAGAUUCCACAACUCCCAAACUGUGUGGCACACUCAUGGUGACAAUUUCCUGCAAUGAACCCUGGUUAAAGCACUGUGAAGUGGCCAGGCCUCUUACAGCCAAAAAAAUCUGGACUAAAGCAGAAAUAUUCAAAAUCUGUUACAGUGGCCAUUCCAAGUGACAACUCCUGCUUUUCAUCUAGCAAAAUGGCGUUGUCAUAAGUACUUUGUCAAUAAUGAGGUUUUCUGGCCUAUGAUACAAGCAUCUUGGGGUUUAUCCACAGAUAGGUACCCUGAGCAGGGUAGAUAGGUAUGCUGAGAAGCCCCCCAUUUCCUUUUCAAAAUGAUAGUUUGGGGCUAGGGAUGCUUUCUAGCCUUCACAGGUGGGAGAGAGAGCCUCACAAUUUUUCUAGUUUAGCCAUACAUGCCACAGAAAGCAACAUCCCUUAAAGAGCCCCACCAGAGCCUUCUAAUAGACACUGCUAGCUUUUGAGCAGCUGCUCUAUCCAAAAUGAACUUUCAUGUCUGUCAUUAGUCAACAGUGACUUUUCCAUCAUUUAAACCAGAUUGCUCUGACCUUUCAAUGUAGGCAUCAACACCUGAGCUGGUCACCUUCCUCCUUUGAAACCAAGAGAGACACUUCUAGAAGUGAUGAAGCUCAUCCUGAAGUACUUAUCUAAUUAUGCCCUGGAAGUGCCUACAACCUCUCCAAGAUGUUGAAAAAGGAGCUCACAACUACUAACUCAGGUGCAGUCACCUUCAGAACAUUUUACACGUCCUGUAGGAUUUUCCAGAUGUCUCAAGAGAAGAAGAAAAUGCAAUAGAGACAAAAGAAGGUCGUGAGUCUGAAAGGUCAUAUGGCACAUUUUGCUCAGAGGCUUUCCACUGAUUAACUACAUGAAUGGAAACAUGUCCAAACCCCUUACAACAUCUUGAUACUUUGACAAAACUUGUACACAGAAAUAUAAGAGUGGUCAUCAUUCUGGUACACAAAUGCACUAACACUCUGAUUACAUUUCACACUGCUGGAAGUCCUGAAGAAUUGGGCUACUGUUUAGCAAGUCAAGAAAGAAUAAAACUGAAGGUUUCAAGGCAUUAGUGCCUCAGCUCCUCUGCCUGUGGAGAAGAAAUGGUACUAGAAGUUAACGCUGUUACACAAUUUGAGGUAAAAAAAUAUUAAAGAAUACAAAACAGCUAUUGUAAUAACAUAUUUGUCAUAUUUGUAAAAAAAAGCACAAGAUAUAAUUAAAAGCAGUCUCUGCAGUUUA